UGGGGAAUAUUGGACAAUGGGCGAAAGCCUGAUCCAGCCAUGCCGCAUGAGUGAAGAAGGCCUUUGGGUUGUAAAGCUCUUUUAGUGAGGAAGAUAAUGACGGUACUCACAGAAGAAGUCCUGGCUAACUCCGUGCCAGCAGCCGCGGUAAUACGGAGAGGGCUAGCGUUAUUCGGAAUUAUUGGGCGUAAAGGGCGCGUAGGCUGGUUAAUAAGUUAAAAGUGAAAUCCCGAGGCUUAACCUUGGAAUUGCUUUUAAAACUAUUAAUCUAGAGAUUGAAAGAGGAUAGAGGAAUUUCUGAUGUAGAGGUAAAAUUCGUAAAUAUUAGGAGGAACACCAGUGGCGAAGGCGUCUAUCUGGUUCAAAUCUGACGCUGAAGCGCGAAGGCGUGGGGAGCAAACA
rnacentral:rRNA from 1 species